CCUACGGGGGGCAGCAGUGAGGAAUAUUGGUCAAUGGUCGGGAGACUGAACCAGCCAAGCCGCGUGAGGGAGGAAGGUACAGAGUAUCGUAAACCUCUUUUGUCAGGGAACAAAGACUGGGACGCGUCCCCGGAUGAGUGUACCUGAAGAAAAAGCAUCGGCUAACUCCGUGCCAGCAGCCGCGGUAAUACGGAGGAUGCGAGCGUUAUCCGGAUUUAUUGGGUUUAAAGGGUGCGCAGGCGGUCUGUUAAGUCAGCGGUCAAAGCCCGGGGCUCAACCCCGGCCCGCCGUUGAAACUGGCAGUCUCGAGUUGGAGAGAAGUAUGCGGAAUGCGCGGUGUAGCGGUGAAAUGCAUAGAUAUCACGCAGAACCCCGAUUGCGAAGGCAGCAUACCGGCGCCCUACUGACGCUGAGGCACGAAAGUGCGGGUAUCGAACAGGAUUAGAUACCCGUGUAGUC
rnacentral:rRNA from 1 species